UACGUAGGGUGCGAGCGUUAAUCGGAAUUACUGGGCGUAAAGCGUGCGCAGGCGGUCUGUUAAGACCGAUGUGAAAUCCCCGGGCUUAACCUGGGAACUGCAUUGGUGACUGGCAGGCUUUGAGUGUGGCAGAGGGAGGUAGAAUUCCACGUGUAGCAGUGAAAUGCGUAGAGAUGUGGAGGAAUACCGAUGGCGAAGGCAGCCUCCUGGGCCAACACUGACGCUCAUGCACGAGAGCGUGGGGAGCAAACAGG
rnacentral:rRNA from 1 species